rnacentral:rRNA from 1 species
GAUGAACGCUGGCGGCGUGCCUAAUACAUGCAAGUCGAGCGAACGGACGAGAAGCUUGCUUUUCUGAUGUUAGCGGCGGACGGGUGAGUAACACGUGGAUAACCUACCUAUAAGACUGGGAUAACUUCGGGAAACCGGAGCUAAUACCGGAUAAUAUUUUGAACCGCAUGGUUCAAAAGUGAAAGACGGUCUUGCUGUCACUUAUAGAUGGAUCCGCGCUGCAUUAGCUAGUUGGUAAGGUAACGGCUUACCAAGGCAACGAUGCAUAGCCGACCUGAGAGGGUGAUCGGCCACACUGGAACUGAGACACGGUCCAGAGGCCUACGGGAGGCAGCAGUAGGGAAUCUUCCGCAAUGGGCGAAAGCCUGACGGAGCAACGCCGCGUGAGUGAUGAAGGUCUUCGGAUCGUAAAACUCUGUUAUUAGGGAAGAAAAUAUGUGUAAGUAACUGUGCACAUCUUGACGGUACCUAAUCAGAAAGCCACGGCUAACUACGUG